rnacentral:misc_RNA from 1 species
CUAUAAGCAAACAUUUCUUCAUAAAAACUCAAAUACUGUUAUACAUCACUCUGUAUUGACUAGCAAAGCCCAAAAUCCCAAUAAACCAUCACAUAUUUAUACAUUUCAAUCUGUACAGAAGAAUCAAACCUCUCCUAUACUGGCAGGCAGAAUUGCCAGAAGAAAUAUUCCUCCUCAGAAUUUAAUCUACAGCAUAAUUCGAGUAAUUUGAUUAAUAUAUCUCUUCUCUUCGUUUUGCCCUGACUUGAUUUCCUCUGCACAUCUCAAAGUCUUCUCUAUCUGAUAGCCUCCUCCAAUGCUCACUUCCCUUUCUAAAUGGCAACAAUAGCUUUCGAAAACACUUACGUUCACAUGCAAUUUGAAACCCAUCAAGAACAGAAAUUCAAGUUCCAACUUAUUCAGCUCAUUUGUAGUUAAUCCCCCAACUCUUGCAAAAUAAGAAUUCCUGUAAUUCAUGUCCUCUACAUAUUUGGAAGCCACCAUGAUGGUCGUAAUGAGAAGCCUAUGCACAUUUCUUGCAUUGAUCCUAAACCCAGGAUUGGCCUGGCAAAACCGAUCAAUAUAGGCGUAGGCAACAACAUAAAUAGAGGGGCCGGCUCGAGUGUAUCGGAAAAUUCUCUCAAGAUAGGAUUGAAUUGUCAUAUCUGGUGUCUCGAAGCAAUCAAAGACCCUAGUUCUAAUGUCCUUUGAUAAUGCCCAUGAACAGUUCUUGGCGAUUCUCUCAUUUCUAGCCAUGGUUCUUUCGAUCAGAGAAGCAAGAACAGAUAUUACUAAUGGGGUAUGGGAGUCACUUUGGUAUGAAUAGGAGUAUAGAUCUGAUCGGAGCUUUCUCGGAGAAAUUGCAAGCGAAGAUGUAGCCAUUCGCGAAUCAAGUUGAAAGAGAGAGAGAGAGGGAAGAAGAUAAGAGAUGGGGUUUUGUUGUGAAAAGUGGUUGUCUUGAAAAGGAUUUAUGCCAUUUUGUUGUGAAAAAUGGUUGUCUCGAAAAGGAUUUAUACCAGAAGGAUUACAAAUUUGAUAGGGAGAGGGAGAGAGAGUUGUGGGGUAGUUGCUACUUGCUAGGAAUGGUGAGGUUUUAGGAGCAUUUAUAGUGGGGGGAGAUUUAGAAGGUACCCCAUAGGAAAUAGAGGAGACUUGGUAAGUUCCGUGGCCGGAGAGAGAGUUGCAGCUGUGAAAGUGAAUAAAAUAAAA